rnacentral:rRNA from 1 species
AUUGAACGCUGGCGGCAGGCUUAACACAUGCAAGUCGAACGGUAACAUAAAGAAGCUUGCUUCUUUGAUGACGAGUGGCGGACGGGUGAGUAAUGCUUGGGAAUCUAGCUUAUGGAGGGGGAUAACUACGGGAAACUGUAGCUAAUACCGCGUAGUAUCGGAAGAUGAAAGUGUGGGACCUUCGGGCCACAUGCCAUAGGAUGAGCCCAAGUGGGAUUAGGUAGUUGGUGAGGUAAAGGCUCACCAAGCCGACGAUCUCUAGCUGGUCUGAGAGGAUGACCAGCCACACUGGGACUGAGACACGGCCCAGACUCCUACGGGAGGCAGCAGUGGGGAAUAUUGCGCAAUGGGGGCAACCCUGACGCAGCCAUGCCGCGUGAAUGAAGAAGGCCUUCGGGUUGUAAAGUUCUUUCGGUAGCGAGGAAGGCAUUUAGUUUAAUAAACUAGGUGAUUGACGUUAACUACGGAAGAAGCACCGGCUAACUCCGUGCCAGCAGCCGCGGUAAUACGGAGGGUGCGAGCGUUAAUCGGAAUAACUGGGCGUAAAGGGCACGCAGGCGGUGACUUAAGUGAGGUGUGAAAGCCCCAGGCUUAACCUGGGAAUUGCAUUUCAUACUGGGUCGCUAGAGUACUUUAGGGAGGGGUAGAAUUCCACGUGUAGCGGUGAAAUGCGUAGAGAUGUGGAGGAAUACCGAAGGCGAAGGCAGCCCCUUGGGAAUGUACUGACGCUCAUGUGCGAAAGCGUGGGGAGCAAACAGG